rnacentral:rRNA from 1 species
GGAUUAAGAGCUUGCUCUUAUGAAGUUAGCGGCGGACGGGUGAGUAACACGUGGGUAACCUGCCCAUAAGACUGGGAUAACUCCGGGAAACCGGGGCUAAUACCGGAUAACAUUUUGAACCGCAUGGUUCGAAAUUGAAAGGCGGCUUCGGCUGUCACUUAUGGAUGGACCCGCGUCGCAUUAGCUAGUUGGUGAGGUAACGGCUCACCAAGGCAACGAUGCGUAGCCGACCUGAGAGGGUGAUCGGCCACACUGGGACUGAGACACGGCCCAGACUCCUACGGGAGGCAGCAGUAGGGA